rnacentral:rRNA from 1 species
CCUACGGGAGGCAGCAGUGGGGGAUAUUGCACAAUGGGGGGAACCCUGAUGCAGCGACGCCGCGUGAGUGAAGAAGCGUUUCGGCACGUAAAGCCCUAUCGGCAGGGAAGAAAAUGACGGUACCUGACCAAGAAGCCCCGGCUAACUACGUGCCAGCAGCCGCGGUAAUACGGAGGGGGCGAGCGUUAUCCGGAUUUAUUGGGUUUAAAGGGUGCGUAGGCGGAAUGUUAAGUCAGUGGUAAAAGGUCGGUGCUAAACACCGGACUGCCGUGGAAACUGGUGUUCUUGAGUGAGCGAGAAGUAGGCGGAAUGCGUGGUGUAGCGGUGAAAUGCAUAGAUAUCACGAAGAACUCCGAUGGCGAAGGCAGCAUACUGG